CAGGUGGUCACUUCAGGCGGCGUUUCCAAUGGUUAAUUCAGCCGCAAGAACUCAGCCAAUCGGGCCCUUCGCUCGAGAUCUGAUUCGCGGCUCGUGUUUCCUGUGUUAUUGGACGCGUGGGUUGAAGUAGCAUACUCAAAAACUGGAGAUUGCUCAGGAGGAUGAACAAAGCUACGAUUGGAAGCUAGGACAGAGGCAAUCCUACACAUGCUGAGACACCAGGCACAAGAGGCAGAUUCCAGCUCACCAGAGGGGCCAAUUGAGGCGGGGAAGAAAGACAUUGCCGGACUCCACAGCAAGGAGAGAUGUCUCUGAGGCAGCACUGUCGUACUAUACCUCACACCUUCCAUCAGCGCAGACACACUCACCUCGGUUGGGUCUGUAUCUUAGAAUGGGGAGCACUGAGUGAAUCGCACCACACAGUGAGCAGGAGGAGGAGGGUGAGGCAGAUUCAGCUGUGGGCCAACCCCUUCAGAGGGGGACAGGCAUAGAUAGCCAUGCUCCACUGGGCAUAGAUGCUGGGCCUGGGGGGUUUCACACACAAGGAGGUUCUUGAGAAUGGUAAUGGGAUUAUUCAGAUGUAUGUGUUUAUUGGAUAAUUUCUCUCUUUGGUGAAAGGUGUC